UCAAGGAGUAGUUUAAGUAGAAUUUCAGCUUUGGGUGCUGAGGGUGGGGCUUGGUGGCCUUCUUCUUG
rnacentral:tRNA from 1 species